CUCGCCGGCGCCGUCAAGUAGCCUGGGGGACCGGCCGGCGCGGCUGGGAGCGGGUGGGCGGCCGGGAGGCCGGAGCAGCACGGCCGCAGGACCUGGAGCUCCGGCUGCGUCUUCCCGCAGCGCUACCCGCCAUGCGCCUGCCGCGCCGGGCCGCGCUGGGGCUCCUGCCGCUUCUGCUGCUGCUGCCGCCCGCGCCGGAGGCCGCCAAGAAGCCGACGCCCUGCCACCGGUGCCGGGGGCUGGUGGACAAGUUUAACCAGGGGAUGGUGGACACCGCAAAGAAGAACUUUGGCGGCGGGAACACGGCUUGGGAGGAAAAGACGCUGUCCAACGAGAUUCGCCUGCUGGAGAUCCUGGAGGGGCUGUGCGAGAGCAGCGACUUCGAAUGCAACCAGAUGCUAGAGGCGCAGGAGGAGCACCUGGAGGCCUGGUGGCUGCAGCUGAAGAGCGAAUAUCCUGACUUAUUCGAGUGGUUUUGUGUGAAGACACUGAAAGUGUGCUGCUCUCCAGGAACCUACGGUCCCGACUGUCUCGCAUGCCAGGGCGGAUCCCAGAGGCCCUGCAGCGGGAAUGGCCACUGCAGCGGAGAUGGGAGCAGACAGGGCGACGGGUCCUGCCGGUGCCACAUGGGGUACCAGGGCCCGCUGUGCACUGACUGCAUGGACGGCUACUUCAGCUCGCUCCGGAACGAGACCCACAGCAUCUGCACAGCCUGUGACGAGUCCUGCAAGACGUGCUCGGGCCUGACCAACAGAGACUGCGGCGAGUGUGAAGUGGGCUGGGUGCUGGACGAGGGCGCCUGUAUGGAUGUGGACGAGUGUGCGGCCGAGCCGCCUCCCUGCAGCGCUGCGCAGUUCUGUAAGAACGCCAACGGCUCCUACACGUGCGAAGGUGGGCCAGGCGGGCGGGUCUGCACUCCGGGGUCUGCACUCCGGGGCCUGCCGGGUUUCGUUGCUGCCUUUGUCAACAUUCAUUUAUGGCUUCUUAGCGUCACUUCCAUACAUCCUGCCUGCCCUGAGAACACUUAGUGUGGCAAAGUAAGUCAUAGGUAUUUGCUGCAGGAAAAUCAGAAAAUUCAAGUAAGAUGAAAAGAAAACAGUUAAAAACCCAGGAACUCCCUGGAGAGCGCACCCUGCUCGUGCCCCCCCAGCGCCCCCGCAACGUGCCCUGCGUGACUUUCCGCAGCGCCUGUCGGGUGUUUUCCACUCAGCAGCUUGUUGUGAACGUCUCUGCGUCCUGUGGUUUCUCUGUCACGCUAAUGAUUUUGGAGCCAUUAUUUCAUACUUUUACAACAAUGUCUGUUGCUGGACGUUUACGUCAUAACAAUUUUUCAACUGUUAUAAACCGUGAACACUUGAAGAGUGUGACUCCAGCUGUGUGGGCUGCACAGGGGAAGGCCCAGGAAACUGUAAAGAGUGUAUCUCUGGCUACGCGAGGGAGCACGGACAGUGUGCAGAUGUGGACGAGUGCUCACUAGCGGAAAAAGCCUGUGUGAGGAAACACGAAAACUGCUACAAUACUCCAGGGAGCUACGUCUGUGUGUGUCCUGACGGCUUCGAAGAAACGGAAGAUGCCUGUGUUCCGCCGGCAGAGGCUGAAGCCACAGAAGGAGAAAGCCCGACACAGCUGCCCUCCCGCGAAGACCUGUAAUGUGCCGGACUUACCCUUUAAAUUAUUCAGAAGGCUGUCCUGUGGAAAAUGUGGCCCUGAGGAUGCCGUCUCCUGCAGUGGACAGCGGCGGGGAGAAGCUGCCUGCUCUCUAAUGGUUGAUUCUCAUUUGUCCCUUAAACAGCUGCAUUUCUUGGUUGUUCUUAAACAGACUUGUAUAUUUUGAUACAGUUCUUUGUAAUAAAAUUGACCAUUGUAGGUAA